GCUCGUUCAUGUCUAUGUAGAGCGAGCAAGCGCGACCCCGACGCUGACUUUCGUUGACUUAACAGCCACAGGUGUCGCUGUUAACAAGCAUUUCUGAAAGUUACAAAUAGUCCCUUUAAGAUAAAGGUAGACAAAAGCAGGCAUCUCAUUUCUAGCUGACAGCUGUUGAUUUUGCAGGUUGAAAGGUUGAAACUGUCACCCACAGACCUCAGCUGUACCUAGCCAACUUGUGGAGCUCAUUUUAAAAAGAGAAGCCUGUAGAUGGGUUUUAUAUAGCACCCGAUUCGACUGUUAUCAGGCCAUUAAAUAGGCAUUAUCAGUCACUAUAAGCACCAUAGAUGUGGGUCAUUAGGGGCUUACUACACCUACUACGUUAUAAGUGAAAAGCAAAACUUAAAAGCUGUGUGUUUAAGGAAAAACAUUUUGUUUUUGCCCUAAAAUAACUACGUUUCAAAAGUGAAAGCGUAAUUUAAUGCUGUGAACAAAAAGACAACUACACCUGGUUGGUUUCACAUGGGAUGCAAAUCCCCGUUCUCCUGGGUGAAAACCCUGUUUUUUGUGUCCCAUCUGUCACCCCUGAUUUUCACGCUGUCUUUACUACAGCGCCUGACUUCCGAUCCUGCUCCUGUCAUAAUGACUAUGGUCACUAGAGGUCGCUAUUGUGUCCUUAUAUACCUUCUCUCAGUGAUCUACCAUGUAAAUAUAUGACAAAACGUAAUAUUGGGUGUAGUAGGCCCUAUUGACCCACAUCUAUGGGGCUUAUAGCGACUGAUAACGCCUAUUUAAUAGCCUGACACUUGAUGGCUACGAUAUCAUGCUGAAAGACUGAGGCUAAAACUGUACGUCCCAGGACCAGAGUUGCCCCAAAAGUCAGCAUCCUGAUGUAGAACAUGGAAAUAAAGAAAGUGACGACGAUCUCAUGCCAUGACUAAAGCUCCUUUUUCCAUUUCCCAUAGUUGAUACUUCCUCUUAGUGUCCACAAGCAUCUACACUGAUAGCUAAUUUAAAAACUCCAGUUCAUCUGACACGCAUAUCUUGCAUUUGAAGAAACCGUAGCAUCCUUAAAAAGCCCAGAGCAAACAAACUCCAUUUAGAAAGGAGCAGGGCUCAGCUGUGAUUGAGCAGUGAUUUUUUAAAAUUUAACAAGCGAGGAAGGCCACGCGGGGGCAUCUCUUUCUGUCAGGGUUACUCUAGCCCAUUAUGAGGAUAAAUGCAUCAUUAAAAAGGAUAUUCGCUUUCAGCUUUCUUCAAAUCACUCUGAGAUUGUUAGGGAGGAAAUGAAAUCUCAUAAAGCUGGUAGGGAAGAGCCAAGGGUGGGAGAAGAGGACUUGGAGAUACAGAAUGAGGAAGAUCAGGUCAGAGGAGGUCAAAAAGUAAUGCGAAGAAACUUAAUAAAACUUGAAAGCAGAAGAAUCAGCACGUGGCAAACUUUGUCUGCAGUUUGGUGCCAUGUAGGCAGUUUUUUUUUUAGGUUCUUGGCUAAAAGCAUCCGCCUGCUGUGACCGAGAAAUGAUGCUGAUGAAAGCGGAGAGACUAAACCAAAACUGUAAAGUUGUGGUCCAGUGUCUUCCACUACACGUGUGUUUAUACAUAUGCAUGUGUUUGCAGAUGCAUCUCUCUAUAUCAGCCUGUGUGACAGCCGGGUCAUUGUCCUGUCAGUCCUCGGCAGAGUAAUGAGCUGAAAUGCGCCUCUUAAGCUUCCUUUUCGGUUUUUCCUUUCCCCCCCCUCCCUCGCUCGAUAUCCCAGAGAGAGGAAUGUUUCCUCGGCGGCUAUUAGAGCGGUCAGAGCAGAUCGUAUCUCUGCGGUUGACUUUAUUAGAGGAUGAUUGUACAGACAGAAUAGAGCUAAGUUCAGCCGUCAUGCAGAGACGAAGAUCAAGUCUAAAGGAGCGGACAGAGAAAGAAUUUGUAACAUUAGUCAUCUGAGAUAAAGAGUGGCAAUGAGUAACGUGCGAAGUGGAAUCGGAAGAUGUGGAGGAAGAGAGAGGAAAGGGCUCAUCUUCAUUGUCGCCAUUAGUACAUUCACUUAUGACAACUGACAGGGAAAGGGACAUUGUGUAAGAGUGGGAAUGAGCAAACGAGUGGAAAGGAGAAACAAUGGGUUAGAGAGAGUGUAAGGAGGAUGAUGUUUGACAGAAAGAAUAGUAAAGAAUGAAAAUGAGUUUUUUCUGCCCAAUGAAUUGUGAAAUAUAACUUUUGAAGUAUGCAGGAUAAGCUUAAAACUACCAAAUUAAAACCAGAAGUUUAAACUUUAAAUUAAAAUUGUAUUUAGCUAUUAUUUCUAGAACAACAAACAACCGAGAACACAACCAUACAGAAAAUAUUCACAAAAUUUACACUAAAAAAAAAUUGUGUUUGUGGUCCUUGUUUGGUCGGUCAAGGGAAGACGGAGUCUGAGCAUAAUCUAUGGCAACUUCCACCUUUUUUCUGCCCAAAUUAAGUGCUAAAUAUGGCUUUUGAAGUAUACAGGGUAAAGCUUAAAACUACCAAAUUAAAACCAGAAGUUUAAACUUUAAAUUUUAUUUAGUUAUAUUUCUAAAUCUAACAAACGAGAACACAACCAUAAAGAAAACAUUCACAAAAUGUACGCUCCAGACAGUGUUUUUUUUGGUCGGUCAAGGCUCACUUGUCCGCUGUUCACCACCUCAACCAACUCCCUCAUUGUCCAAUCAGCAGCCAGUUUCGGGGGAAGCACGGACCUACAGCAUCAACCAAUUAGAUACCAUCAAUGUGUUUCUAUGUAGUGACCCCAAUACUUUUGGAGGUGACUCAGCAAACUCCAAAAAGAAGAAAGCAUGCAAACAUGAGCAUCUGUUAUUAUGGACAAGGCGAUCUACAACACCCUCCAACCAGGCAGUGAGGUGUUCCUUUCAUUCCCUCCAUCUUACUGCUGACAAUACCUGUCUGUGCAGCCACAUGGACAUGAAGGAUAACAACUCCAGAUGCCUCUUACCAACCCAGUAACCCCGGCUACUCAACCACCCAGACACCCAGAGAGAUUCACAACAUCGAUCUUCAUAAAAGGACUGGAAACAACGGUUUGGAGAGGUGACAACCAGACCAGUCUGUCUUCCGCAUAACAAACUGAGAGACCACAUUGUGGCACUGACUUCGUUCUGAUCCACUUUACUGGAUUAUAAGAAAAAAGAGGACAUGGAGAUACAGGUGUGUCAGGAUGACCAUGUCCUACAUCAUCCAUCAGAAUGGAUUUGCAUGAAGAGUGACUCUAUCCUGGGGAGGAUGUGUAAAAACUGCAGUGUGGUGACAUGAGGAUCUUUGCUGGACGAGAAGAAAGAUAAACAAGGAAAAGUAACAACAGCCUAUAAUGGCAAAUGUCUCACGGUUAUUUUUGGCUACAUCGCUCUCUCGUUCAACAGCCCUGAUGAUAAGGAACAAUUUGAAGAUUCCUUCCCUCCCCAAAUAUCCGAUACCAGAGUGGUACUGAGUUACAUAUCUGCUUAGAUAUUUUGAUCUCCGUUAUGAGGAUAUUUGGGGAAUGUAGUUGUAGAGUUGAAGAUGUUUCACCAUUCAUAUGACAGGAGCUCACAUACACAUUUCACUUUCUGGAGAAGACAAUAAAAUAAGUUGGAGUGAAUGGAAGAUACUGUUGUACAGAUAAGCCUUUCAAACUGUUAUGCAACCUUUAAUGCAAAACUUCUCUAAAAGCAAAAUAGAAAACAAAAUAAUACAACCAUGAAACAGGAUGAUGUAUUUGUACUGAGCAUAAGGUAUAAGAUAUGGAGGCUUCACUGUGACAACUGAAGCUAACAUGUUGGAAGUGAAAAAGACGUUAUAUCUUACAGAUUGUUAAACAAAAACAUGUUAUAAAGCACAUACAUAUUAUGCAUACACUCACUCAGACAGAGAUGAUAAAACAAAUGCAGACAUGAGAAAUUGAUCGGUAUGCAAAUAUGAAACAGAAACAGUGUCUGUGGAUCUGCAGCACUGUGUGGUUACAGCUCAAUGUUAAAUGUUAACAUGCUACUAUUGUAGGAUUACAUGUACCUCACUUAACAUGCAUGGCUACCAGCAGAUUUCUCUCUUUCCCAUUACUGUCCUUCUUGAUGGAGUGAAGUUUGCCUCCCUCUUCACAAAUACCCGUCAGUCAUUUGCACAUCAGUAAAACAAAUUAUAUUCUUAGUUUUAUUAAGUGUUGGGGUUUGGCUUUAAGUUUGAUUAUAUAUAUUUCCAUAAUAUGUUUUUUUUCUAUAUCUAAGUUUUAAGUUUAAUUUGAGGAAUUCCUCUCUUUGUACAUUUACAAUCAUGAAUCAUAGUUCCUUAUCUUGAAAUCAAGUUUUGUAAAGGUGGACCUUUCUACUGUAUGACUUCUGUAAUAUAACUUCAUUAAAUUAAUAAGAAUGU